AGAGCGAACGCUGGCGGCAGGCUUAACACAUGCAAGUCGAGCGGGCGUAGCAAUACGUCAGCGGCAGACGGGUGAGUAACGCGUGGGAACGUACCUUUUGGUUCGGAACAACCCAGGGAAACUUGGGCUAAUACCGGAUAAGCCCUUACGGGGAAAGAUUUAUCGCCGAAAGAUCGGCCCGCGUCUGAUUAGCUAGUUGGUGAGGUAAUGGCUCACCAAGGCGACGAUCAGUAGCUGGUCUGAGAGGAUGAUCAGCCACAUUGGGACUGAGACACGGCCCAAACUCCUACGGGAGGCAGCAGUGGGGAAUAUUGGACAAUGGGCGCAAGCCUGAUCCAGCCAUGCCGCGUGAGUGAUGAAGGCCCUAGGGUUGUAAAGCUCUUUUGGUGCGGGAAGAUAAUGACGGUACCGCAAGAAUAAGCCCGGCUAACUUCGCGCCAGCAGCCGC
rnacentral:rRNA from 1 species